GCCACCGAUGAAAUGAUUACCCUUGCCCUCGUUUCUGGGGGAGAAGAGAAGAGGUGGGGACAUGACAAGCAUCGCUCUGGCAGCAGGCAGGGUACCGUCUGCACUCCAUGCCGGGGCUGGCUUGAGGAAGACGUGCAGACCAGGAAAAGGCCACCAAGUUGCAGACGCUACUAUGAUUCCAUCCUGACUUCCUCGGGCAGACGACCUCACCAAUGUGUCCCGAUGUUUCACCUCUCCAGAGCCUUACCCAACUAGUGAAAGACAGAAACAGGCUGGGGGUAUGGAUCCACCUGUCAGCACCCAUAUCCAAUGGAGAAGCAAUUACAGAAGCCAGAACUCCCACCUUCUGAUCCCCAUAAAGAUCUUAGGUCCAGACUCCCAGAGGGAUAAAGAAUAGGGAAGCUUCCAAUGGAGGGGAUGGGACACAGAAGCCUGCUGGUGAGAACUGUGUGGAAUUGUACCCCUGUUAUCUUACAAUCUUGUCAUCAUUAUUAGAUCACUAAUAAAAAUUUAAAACUACAAUAAACAAAAAUCAAACUUA